AUUUGCAUAUUGCCCUUUUAUUAUAUAGAAUUGGAACAAUACAGAGAAGAUUCCAUGGCCCCUUUGCAAGGAUGACAUGCAAAUGCAUGAAGCGUUCCAUAUUUUU
rfam:Myotis davidii contig130754, whole genome shotgun sequence.